UGCAGUCGACGGAACUUUUCGGAGUUCAGUGGCGGACGGGUGAGUAGUGCGUGAGAAUCUGGCUUCAGGUUCGGGACAACCAUUGGAAACGAUGGCUAAUACCGAAUGUGCCGCAGGGUGAAAGAUUAAUCGCCUGAAGAUGAGCUCGCGUCUGAUUAGCUAGUUGGUGGGGUAAGAGCCUACCAAGGCGACGAUCAGUAACUGGUCUGAGAGGAUGACCAGUCACACUGGGACUGAGACACGGCCCAGACUCCUACGGGAGGCAGCAGUGGGGAAUUUUCCGCAAUGGGCGAAAGCCUGACGGAGCAAUACCGCGUGAGGGAGGAAGGCUCUAGGGUUGUAAACCUCUUUUCUCAGGGAAGAACAAAAUGACGGUACCUGAGGAAUAAGCAUCGGCUAACUCCGUGCCAGCAGCCGCGGUAAUACGGAGGAUGCAAGCGUUAUCCGGAUUUAUUGGGCGUAAAGCGUCCGCAGGUGGCAGUUCAAGUCUGCUGUUAAAGGUCGGGGCUCAACCCUGAACAGGCAGUGGAAACUGAACAGCUAGAGUACGGUAGGGGCAGAGGGAAUUCCCAGUGUAGCGGUGAAAUGCGUAGAGAUUGGGAAGAACACCGGUGGCGAAAGCGCUCUGCUAGGCCGAAACUGACACUCAUGGACGAAAGCUNGGGAGCGAAUGGGAUUAGAUACCCCAGUAGUCCUAGCCGUAAACGAUGGAUACUAUGCGUNGUGAGUAUCGACCCUCACAGUGUCGUAGCUAACGCGUUAAGUAUCCCGCCUGGGGGAGUACGCGCGCAAGCGUGAAACUCAAANGAAUUGA
rnacentral:rRNA from 1 species